CGUAGGGUGCAAGCGUUAAUCGGAAUUACUGGGCGUAGAGCGUGCGCAGGCGGUUAUGCAAGACAGAUGUGAAAUCCCCGGGCUCAACCUGGGAACUGCAUUUGUGACUGCAUAGCUGGAGUGCGGCAGAGGGGGAUGGAAUUCCGCGUGUAGCAGUGAAAUGCGUAGAUAUGCGGAGGAACACCGAUGGCGAAGGCAAUCCCCUGGGCCUGCACUGACGCUCAUGCACGAAAGCGUGGGGAGCAAACAGGAUUAGAUACCCUGGUAGUCCACGCCCUAAACGAUGUCAACUGGUUGUUGGGAAGGUUCCUUCUCAGUAACGUAGCUAACGCGUGAAGUUGACCGCCUGGGGAGUACGGCCGCAAGGUUAG
rnacentral:rRNA from 1 species